UGAUGAACGAAUAACUCGAUUUUGAUUUCAGAGUCCAUGAGAGGUGAUGAUUUGGGGAGCAAACUAUAAGCACUAAAAGCAUCAGAAGUGAAAAAUCUCUGAACAGUGAACAUAUGAUCGGAUGCUAUCAGGUGAAAUGUUGUAAAGUGUCUGAAACUCAAAAUAUAGGAACUUAAACUUGUAAACUACAGUACAUCAAGAGAUUUAUAUCAUGUGUGGAAAACUUGUAAAUUGCAAAUCUAUAACAAGAUAUUUAAUUAUAUUUAUACAGGGAAGGCAGUUGGAAUGUCUCUGCAGUGUAGGAUACAGUUUAAUUAGGGUACACCAUAAAAGGAAAUUAUUUUUUGAGUCAAACGGCAAGAGCUCUGCCAAUACAUGGUCCAACUUAGAACCAGUCAAAUCCUCCACGGUCAGUAGCAUGGAGAAAAAAAAAGGCUGCGUACCUGCUCAUUUUGGACUGACUGCAUGAUGCAUACAAGCAUGAAGUUUCAUAGAACUUGCCUAACCCUGGAUUCAUCCUCAGUUUUGUUCAAACGUCAAUGAAUGAUGGAGAUGUGGAAAGAAUUUGGAACAUCUGGACAGAUCGCAUCUUGGCAGAUCCUUCAAAGAUAUUGAUUUGAGUGUACACACCAAGUCAAAAUCUUCGUUUUCUCCUCUAGCAAAUCAUUGAUAUUUAUAAGCAGCUCAGCUCAGUGAGUAGCUUCUUGCAUAUUCUUGCAUUCUUUUUCCUCUCCAAGAUCAGGGCAGUGCCAUCCAACGAGGGCAAGAUGGAUCUGGUCACCGGUCAGGCCGCCACCGUCGCGCAGCUCGUCGGAGUGGACGCCUACGGCCUGAUCAAGAUGAUCGCCGAGGCGGCGCAGACGGUGCGGCGGAACAGGGCGACUUGCCACCAGCUCGCCCGGCGGGUCAGAAUGAUCGGCAACCUGCUGAGGCAUCUCCACGGCGCGCAGCUGAUGCAGCAGCCGGAGACGAGGGACCCGGUGGAGCAGCUGGAGGAGACGCUCCGGCGAGCGUACCUGCUGGUCCGGUCAUGCCAGGGCCGGAGUUACCUGUACCGAUGCUUCAUGGGAGGCCGGCACGCCGACGAGCUCCGGGACGUGCAGAGUGAGAUCACCUUCUACCUCCAGCUCUUCCCUCUCAUCAGCUAUGUCGAUGUUACACUCAACUGGGUGAGGCAUCUGAACAAAGCCGAUCCAUCCUGCAAAGAGGCACCUUUGGUAAGACCAUGUUUUGUGCCAUUUGAGUUUGUGUCAUGGGAUGGAUCGUGCUUAUUAGCAGUUGUUCAGAGAGUACACCUUGGUAUAGUGUACACAUGGUUCAUAUCUCUUACGUUUAUAUCUACUCAACUAUCUGCAGAUCUUUCACAUGUGUCUGCAGGAGUUAAAUUGUUGCCUGGCUGACGUUUCCUUUUGACAUGAUUUCAUUCAUUCAAACGAUUGACAGACAUCUUAACUAGCUAGUACACACUAUUUCUGAAAGUGCUAGCUAGUGCACUAUUGUGGUUCUUCUUUAUCAGCUAAGUGCUUUUGCUUUUGGAGAAUUUGGCCUAGAGUAAAGUUCAGCUGCACCUGAUCCAAACAACAAGUACUGUAAGUCAAUCUUUGAUGUGUACUGAAUAGGUAGUUUUUAUCUUCUUUUUUCACAUGGAAGAACAGAACAGAGUUGCAAACUAACUAACUCUUGGAUAUUCCCUUCUAUCAUCCAAGUUUCUCAAUGUCUAGUUUGCAUCGAAAACUUACAUUUUGGAUCAUCAGGAUUACAAAGUUCCAGGGUUGGAGAGGCAGUUGCCGAUGCUGUUGAAUCAGUCCAUAAGCUCCCCGUCGGAGAGUGAAAACAAGUAAAAGAUAUCUACAUGCUUGAGUAGAUCAGGUUCCACAGCUAGGUUUGUGUUUUUUCUCACAUGAGCUUAAAGGUUCUCUCAGAUAUGCAUUAUAUUUGUGUAUAUACUGAAUAAUAUAGGGGAUCCACUUAAUUGGUCGUAGCAUAGUGCAAUAAUUAUGCUUAAUACUUCUUACUUAUACUCCAUGAUGAAAUUAGUUUAUCUUAUAGAAAAUUCAACUGUAUGUAUUGUGAACUUGUCUUUUAAUCAUUCGUCACACU